rnacentral:rRNA from 1 species
GACGAACGCUGGCGGCGUGCUUAACACAUGCAAGUCGAACGAAGAGCGAUGGAAGCUUGCUUCUAUCACUCUUAGUGGCGUACGGGUGAGUAACGCGUAAUCAACCUGCCCUUCAGAGGGGGACAACAGUUGGAAACGACUGCUAAUACCGCAUACGAUCUAAUCUCGGCAUCGAGGAUAGAUGAAAGGUGGCCUCUACAUGUAAGCUAUCACUGAAGGAGGGGAUUGCGUCUGAUUAGCUAGUUGGAGGGGUAACGGCCCACCAAGGCGAUGAUCAGUAGCCGGUCUGAGAAGAUGAACGGCCACAGUGGGACUGAGACAAGGCCCAGACUCCUACGGGAGGCAGCAGUGGGGAAUCUUCCGCAAUGGACGAAAGGCUGACGGAGCAACGCCGCGUGAGUGAUGACGGCCUUCGGGUUGUAAAGCUCGGUUAAUCGGGACGAAAGGCCUUCUUGCGAAUAGUGAGAAGGAUUGACGGUACCGGAAGAGAAAGCCACGGCUAACUACGUG